ensembl:processed_transcript Snhg5 small nucleolar RNA host gene 5
AAAGGAGACUAUAAAAGGAGCUGCGGUGAACCGGGCUCGUUCUUUUACGACGGAGCCUAAGAUAUUCUUUGUCUUGUCGGUACUAGAGUCACUGAAAGAGACAUCCUAUUAUAUGCACGUUCACAAGGACAAUGGCGCCAUUGUUCUUCGCGUCUUCAAAGCAGCUACAAGAAGAAACCAAGAUGGAGGGGAGCCCAAAGCAUCUGAGAGAAUUGAUAAAUGAAAGAAACAUGCUUAAAACAUGACCGUUUUAAAGGUGAAUGCUGACCAGUGAGAAAACUAGAUGUGACCAUCCAGAAAAAGCAUAGACAAAAAAAUGCAGUCUUAGUACUGGGAUGUUUGAGAUGGGGUCUAUCUACAUGUCUCUAGCUGUCCCUAUCAGGACAGCAUCUGGUGUGGCCUGCAGAGUUGAUUCCUGUACUUUUUUUUUUCUGUGGGCUGUAUGUAAAUGGAUUGUUUUGACAAUCCAUUCGACAGUGUUCUCUUCUGUGAAGGUCAUAGGUGAGCUGAUUGACAGACACAGCUGUACAGACUGAAUGCAAUCCUGACUAUAAAGCUGCAGUUCAUCAUUAUGAGCUAUUUCCUUAUUCUGGCAGUGAUUGAAAUAAAAUGGGGAGUAUUGAAAUAAAAAACAUUCAAUUGCAAAUA